rnacentral:rRNA from 1 species
GAUGUUGCCUGAAAAGUUUUGCAUGGAAUAAUGGAAUAGGACUUCGGUUCUAUUUCGUUGGUUUUCGGAUCCGAAGUAAUGAUCAAAAGAGACAGGCGGGGACGUUUGUAUGGCUGCGCUAGAGGUGAAAUUCAUGGACCGUAGCCAGACAAACUAAAGCGAAAGCAUUCGUCAAGCAUGUUUUCAUUGGCCAUGAGCGAAAGUCAGAGGCUCGAAGACGAUCAGAUACCGUCCUAGUUCUGACCAUAAACGAUGCCAACUGACGAUCCGUGGUGGUAGUCUAUCAACCUUCCCCACGGGCAGUCCCCGGGAAACCUUUAAGUCUUUGGGUUCCGGGGGAAGUAUGGUUGCAAAGCUGAAACUUAAAGGAAUUGACGGAAGGGCACCACCAGGAGUGGAGCCUGCGGCUUAAUUUGACUCAACACGGGAAAACUCACCCGGCCCGGACACUAUGAGGAUUGACAGAUUGAUAGC